ACAAAAAGUGAUAAGAUUAUUAUAAUGAAAGUGUAUACUAACAUUAUAAUAGUUUUAUUCAUGUUCUAUAAACAAAUACCUUCACGUGGUAUAGAAUGAACAAUGUAUUGGAAUAGUACAUUGACUAAGAUUUGUAUAAAAAUUGAAAGUUUCAACAUAUUUUUUUUUGUGUUUGAAUGUAUAGGGAAUUAUAUUAAAAUAAUAUAAAAAAACAUGAUGUAAAACUUUUGUGGUAAAUAUUUUUAGUUAGAAAUUUUGUUUUAGAUGUAUAAUAUAAAAUUAUAUAACUAAUAAACUCUUCAUAU
rnacentral:misc_RNA from 1 species